ACAGACAUUUCCAUUAAGGGUCAUACUCUGUGGCAGCUUAAUAUGAACCCUUAUUGACAAGAUACAUCACAGGCACUUUUAACACACAUUUAAACAGGAAACCCGAUAUUUCUGUGGCAAACAGUUCUUGGGGAGAAAACAGAGACGCUAGCAAAGCCAACAAAUGAAGGAUUUGGCAAAUUAAGCUGCACAAACAGAAAAUAAAACCCCUUGGCAGAGGAGGACAGUUAUACAAUAGCAGAGGAGGAAGGAGGAGGGAAAGGGUCUAAAGGAGCCUGCUGUGUAAACAUUACCCAGCUUUGGCGCGCAAGAAGAGAGGGAAAAUUACUUAUCACUGUGAUGUAAAAGGAGGAGGACGACACUUCAGCAAAAAAAAAACCCAGGCUGGAAUUGGACUAUCGGUGCACCCCAGCUUCGGCCUCCUCCAGGAGUUGACGCAUCUCCGUCUCCACUUCAAAUACCUGAAGAAGACACACAGACGGCCUCAACUAUAACUGUUGUUCAAUAUAAGGCGAAGCAGCUCAGCCUGAUGGGAAGCCUGGCCAGACUCUAGUUGACGGCGAAAGGCAUCAUCCACACAGUGUAACUUGUCUACUGCAGCUCUACAGGACAACAACAACACAAUGUUACAUAAGCUGCUGUUUCAGCUCCUCCUUGCGCAGGCUCAGAUGCUCCAGGCGCUCCCUCAGCUCAGCCUGCCGAGCUGUUUCCUCC